rnacentral:rRNA from 1 species
GACGACGACGUUGAUAGGCCGGGUGUGUAAGCGCAGCGAUGCGUUGAGCUAACCGGUACUAAUGAACCGUGAGGCUUAACCUUA